GGGAGGGGCUGGGUCGGGCAGGCAGGGCCUCCUCUCAUCGGACUGGCACACACUGACAUAGGAUAGGCACGUGCGCGAUGGUGCUUGCGACUCCAAGGGCUCAGCUGUCUCCCAGGCAUCAGAGAUGGGCCAGUGCAGAGACACAACCACCGAUCGGGACACUCGGGUACUCCAGCAAAUGCAUAAUCAUAGUCAGGCGACCAGACCUGCUGUCUAAGACUCCUCAGGAGACAAAGACUACAGAUAGCUUCCCUUUGGUAAGACAAGUGACAAGAGGAAAACACCUGCAGUGUCUCCAAAGAGGACCUCAGUGGCUGAACUCAGUUCUCAUGCCCGUCAAUUGGGCAGACCACCGGUGGUAGUUCCACCAAGAUGCCACACAGUGGAGUACAGAUAGAUUUGCUGAUCUCUGUCUUGGAUCCAAUAACCUCAACAGUGUGGAAUACAUUCAGGUGGAGUGUGUGCUCAUAUGGGUUGUCCUUGCAUCCAACAGAAUCACAAUGUUUGGCUGAAUAAAUAAAUCAACCACUGUGUGGAUACCA
rnacentral:lncRNA from 1 species